CCUACGGGUGGCUGCAGUGGGGAAUAUUGGACAAUGGGGGCAACCCUGAUCCAGCCAUGCCGCGUGUGUGAAGAAGGCCCUCGGGUUGUAAAGCACUUUCAGUGAGGAAGAACGCCUGGUGGUUAAUACCCAUCAGGAAAGACAUCACUCACAGAAGAAGCACCGGCUAACUCCGUGCCAGCAGCCGCGGUAAUACGGAGGGUGCGAGCGUUAAUCGGAAUUACUGGGCGUAAAGCGCGCGUAGGUGGCUUGAUAAGCCGGUUGUGAAAGCCCCGGGCUCAACCUGGGAACGGCAUCCGGAACUGUCAAGCUAGAGUGCAGGAGAGGAGGGUAGAAUUCCAGGUGUAGCGGUGAAAUGCGUAGAGAUCGGGAGGAAUACCAGUGGCGAAGGCGGCCUUCUGGACUGACACUGACACUGAGGUGCGAAAGCGUGGGUAGCAAACAGGAUUAGAUAACCGUGUAGUC
rnacentral:rRNA from 1 species